rnacentral:lncRNA from 1 species
UGGGUCUGAAUGAAAAUCUGAUGAAACAGAUGUUACUUGAAGCUGAGUGACUUUCUCAGGGUCAAGCAAAUAAGUAAAUGGAGGAGCCAGAAUUAUACCCCAGUCUUCUUUGAUCCUGUAGAAGCAGUUUCUCUCCUCUGGAACUUCGAUCCCCAUCACAAGAAGGGGAGUGCUACCAUCCCAGCUGCAAACUCUCAUUCAAGGUUUAUGCUGCAGCCAGCAGUGUCCUUGGAGUCUAGUUCAAAGCUGAAGAGAGUGAACCAUGGAACUGGGAGCCAUUGGCGGAGAGGCUGGCCUGAAGGAAGGGAAGUGUUUCAGCCAGAAUGUACUGACGCACAACCAGGAAACCACAAGACUAGUAACUACCAGUUGCCAUGAAAUAAAUCACAUCAUCAUAUGGCAGAUCCAGCUAAUAGCUGAGACUGGCAGGAUAACUGAACCGUGUCCUCAGAGCUAAAUGAUGGAGAAAUUGGACUGGCCAUGGAGCACUUCAAAUUGAUUGCUUAGUAAUGGGAUAUUUUUCCUGGAAAGACAACAGAAUACUUCUGAAUUGUUGGUUCUGUCAUGGGUACAGGCUCCCAUGUACAGGAAAA